CUAACUUCGUGAGCGGUUUUCAUCGCAGAAAUUUUGUACUGAGGUUAUUGUAUGUACUGAGGUUAUUUAUUUAAUGUUGCGUCAUUAUUUAUUUAGUGCUGUGGUAAUCACAUCAGCGCUUUGUGUAGUGCCUUGUCUGCAGGUGACUCUUUUUCGCGACACUUAUUAGUCGCUGAUUUCUCUGACAAGCGCUUGCCAUCGCCAAGAUUAUCUAUUCCAGAUUGUGAGGGGCUUAUAUGGAUGUCAGAUAAGUUUCUAUAUAAGUUUUAUUACAUGGAUGCAAUCCUGAUUUAGAUUUUGAUUAUUCUACAAUGAUGAAUUUACACGAUGUAUGUAAAAUAAUGAAUUAUUUCAAGAUUUUGUGAAUAAGCCAUAUAAAAGCAAGAUUCUACAAAUUGAACAAUGGUUACAGAUCAGAUUAUUAAUUGCGUUAAUUGUGAAUGCGAACAUCUUAAAUUCGCAAAGGAAGUUAUUAAAAAUGUGACAUUAUAUUUCCAAUCUGAAUUAAACGUAACGGUUAUUAGUUAUUGAGGUUAUUAGUUAUUGAAACGUGUAUUUCCAAUAAUAAGGUACGUGCAAUGUAUUA